rnacentral:rRNA from 1 species
CAUGCAAGUCGAGCGAGAAAGGCGGCUUCGGCUGCCGAGUAAAGCGGCGGACGGGUGAGUAACACGUGGGUAACCUGCCCUUCAGUGGGGGACAACCAUCCGAAAGGAUGGCUAAUACCGCAUAAGUCAUGGGAGGCUGAGGCCUUUCAUGGGAAAGCUAGCCACUGUUUACAAGCUGGCGCUGAAGGAGGGGCCCGCGUCGCAUCAGCUAGUUGGUGAGGUAAUGGCUCACCAAGGCAAAGACGCGUAGCUGGUCUGAGAGGAUGAUCAGCCACACUGGGACUGAGACACGGCCCAGACUCCUACGGGAGGCAGCAGUGGGGAAUAUUGGACAAUGGGCGAAAGCCUGAUCCAGCCACGCCGCGUGAGUGAUGAAGGCCUUCGGGUCGUAAAGCUCUGUGGGGAGGGACGAAACCUGACUGGUUAAGAGCUAGGCAGUUGACGGUACCUCCUUAGCAAGCACCGGCUAACUCCGUGCCAGCAGCCGCGGUAAUACGGAGGGUGCAAACGUUGCUCGGAAUCACUGGGCGUAAAGCGCACGUAGGCGGCCCGAAAAGUCGGAUGUGAAAGCCCUGGGCUCAACCUAGGAAGUGCAUUCGAAACUGCCGGGCUUGAGUACGGGAGAGGGUUGCGGAAUUCCCGGUGUAGAGGUGAAAUUCGUAGAUAUCGGGAGG